ACUUUGUGUCUUCCAUGAUAAUAAAUGAACCAUCCUAUGAUACUAACAUAUGAUACUAUGCAUUACGGUUGUGGUAUCAUACACUAAUAUCAUAUGCAUGAUACUAGUAUAUGAUACUAUCCAUUACAACCGGCCUAAGAUGGGGUAUAAGAUGGCUUAUAGCCAGCAGUUGGCUAUACUAUUAACCAUGCUCUUAUGACUUAUGGAGUGUUUUAUUCCACGCAUCAGA
rnacentral:lncRNA from 1 species